rnacentral:rRNA from 1 species
GAUGAACGCUGGCGGCGUGCCUAAUACAUGCAAGUCGAGCGAACGGACGAGAAGCUUGCUUCUCUGAUGUUAGCGGCGGACGGGUGAGUAACACGUGGAUAACCUACCUAUAAGACUGGGAUAACUUCGGGAAACCGGAGCUAAUACCGGAUAAUAUUUUGAACCGCAUGGUUCAAAAGUAAAAGACGGUCUUGCUGUCACUUAUAGAUGGAUCCGCGCUGCAUUAGCUAGUUGGUAAGGUAACGGCUUACCAAGGCAACGAUGCAUAGCCGACCUGAGAGGGUGAUCGGCCACACUGGAACUGAGACACGGUACAGACUCCGACGGGAGGCAGCAGUAGGGAAUCUUCCGCAAUGGGCGAAAGCGUGACGGAGCAAAGCCGCGUGAGUGAUGAAGGACUUAGGAUCGUAAAACUCUGUUAUUAGUGAAGAACAUAUGUGUAAGUAACUGUGCACAUCUUGACGGUACCUAAUCAGAAAGCCACGGCUAACUACGUG